rnacentral:rRNA from 1 species
AAAGGUGAAGUUAUAUUGUUUUAUAAAUGAAAUAUAUUUUAGGAGAAGCUAGGAAGCUUUAAAAAUAAACUAGGAUUAGAUACCCUAUUAUAUUAAAGUUGAAUUUACAAAUACUGAAUUAUUAAUAGAUAUUUCUUAAAAUUUAAAGAAUUUGGCGGUAAUUUAGUCUUGUCAGAGGAACCUGUUUUUUAAUCGAUACACCACGUUAUAUCUUACUUAAGUUUGUAUACCAUCAUUAGUAGAUAAUUUUAAAAGAACAAAUUAUUAAAAUUAAAUAUAUUAAAAAAAUUAGAUCAAGGUGCAGCUAAUAGAUAAGUUAAAAUGGGUUACAAUAAAAUUUAUUUAUACGAAAUAAUUUUUAUAAAGGUGGAUUUGAUUGUAUAUAAGCUUAAUAAACUUAUAAGAUAUAAGCUCUAAAUUAUGUACAUAUCGCCCGUCGCUUUC